rnacentral:rRNA from 1 species
UUGCAGUUAAAAAGCUCGUAGUUGAAUUUCUGGUUAGAAUAGUCGGUCUUGCACUCAGUGUAAGUACCAGACUCUUCUUCCCAUCUUUAGGGAGAACUCAUAUGGCAUUAAUUUGUUGUGUGAUGUAUCCUUAUCGUUUACUGUGAAAAAAUUAGAGUGUUCAAAGCAGGCCUCGGCUUGAAUACAUUAGCAUGGAAUAAUAGAAUAGGACUUUGGUUCUAUUUUGUUGGUUUCUAGGACUGAAGUAAUGAUUAAUAGGGACAGUUGGGGGCAUUAGUAUUUAAUUGUCAGAGGUGAAAUUCUUGGAUUUAUGAAAGACUAACUACUGCGAAAGCAUUUGCCAAGGAUGUUUUCAUUAAUCAAGAACGAAAGUUAGGGGAUCGAAGACGAUCAGAUACCGUCGUAGUCUUAACCAUAAACUAUGCCGACUUGGGAUCGGUGGGGUUGAU